rnacentral:rRNA from 1 species
UACGAAGGGGGCUAGCGUUGUUCGGAUUUACUGGGCGUAAAGCGCACGUAGGCGGAUCGUUAAGUCGGGGGUGAAAUCCUGGAGCUCAACUCCAGAACUGCCUUCAAUACUGGCGAUCUUGAGUCCGGAAGAGGUGAGUGGAACUCCUAGUGUAGAGGUGGAAUUCGUAGAUAUUCGCAAGAACACCAGUGGCGAAGGCGGCUUACUGGUCCGGUUCUGACGCUGAGGCGCGAAAGCGUGGGGAUCAAACAGG